GCCCCGUUCGUCUAGAGGUCAGGACACCAGAUUUUCAUUCUGGCGGCAGGGGUUCGAUUCCCCUACGGGGUACCA
rnacentral:tRNA from 1 species